GUCCCAGCAGCCGCGGUAAUACGGAGGAUGCGAGCGUUAUCCGGAUUUAUUGGGUUUAAAGGGUGCGUAGGCUGUUAUAUAAGUCAGUGGUGAAAUAUUCGGGCUCAACCGGGAUACUGCCAUUGAUACUGUAUAGCUGGAAUAUGGUUGCUGUGGGUGGAAUGUGUGGUGUAGCGGUGAAAUGCAUAGAUAUCACACAGAAUAUCGAUUGCGAAGGCAACUCACAAAGCCAUUAUUGACGCUGAUGCACGAAAGUGUGGGGAUCAAACAGGAUUAGAUACCCUGGUAGUCCACACUGUAAACGAUGAUAACUAGCUGUCGGCGAUAGAUAGUCGGUGGCUAAGCGAAAGCGAUAAGUUAUCCACCUGGGGAGUACGACCGCAAGGUUGAAACUCAAAGGAAUUGACGGGGGCCCGCACAAGCGGAGGAACAUGUGGUUUAAUUCGAUGAUACGCGAGGAACCUUACCCGGGCUCGAACGGUGCAGGAAUAUGGUAGAGAUAUCAUAGCUAGCAAUAGUCUGUAUCGAGGUGCUGCAUGGUUGUCGUCAGCUCGUGCCGUGAGGUGUCGGCUUAAGUGCCAUAACGAGCGCAACCCUUGUCGUUAGUUACCAUCAAGUAAAGUUGGGGACUCUAGCGAGACUGCCACCGUAAGGUGUGAGGAAGGGGGGGAUGACGUCAAAUCAGCACGGCCCUUACGUCCGGGGCGACACACGUGUUACAAUGGUAGGUACAGAGGGGCGCUAUCCAGUGAUGGAGUGCGAAUCUCAAAAACCUAUCUCAGUUCGGAUUGGAGUCUGCAACUCGACUCCAUGAAGUUGGAUUCGCUAGUAAUCGCGCAUCAGCCAUGGCGCGGUGAAUACGUUCCCGGGNNUNGUACACACCGCCCGUCAAGCCAUGGA
rnacentral:rRNA from 1 species